rnacentral:rRNA from 2 species
GAUGAACGCUGGCGGCGUGCCUAAUACAUGCAAGUCGAGCGAACGGACGAGAAGCUUGCUUCUCUGAUGUUAGCGGCGGACGGGUGAGUAACACGUGGAUAACCUACCUAUAAGACUGGGAUAACUUCGGGAAACCGGAGCUAAUACCGGAUAAUAUUUUGAACCGCAUGGUUCAAAAGUGAAAGACGGUCUUGCUGUCACUUAUAGAUGGAUCCGCGCUGCAUUAGCUAGUUGGUAAGGUAACGGCUUACCAAGGCAACGAUGCAUAGCCGACCUGAGAGGGUGAUCGGCCACACUGGAACUGAGACACGGUCCAGACUCCUACGGGAGGCAGCAGUAGGGAAUCUUCCGCAAUGGGCGAAAGCCUGACGGAGCAACGCCGCGUGAGUGAUGAAGGUCUUCGGAUCGUAAAACUCUGUUAUUAGGGAAGAACAUAUGUGUAAGUAACUGUGCACAUCUUGACGGUACCUAAUCAGAAAGCCACGGCUAACUACGUGCCAGCAGCCGCGGUAAUACGUAGGUGGCAAGCGUUAUCCGGAAUUAUUGGGCGUAAAGCGCGCGUAGGCGGUUUUUUAAGUCUGAUGUGAAAGCCCACGGCUCAACCGUGGAGGGUCAUUGGAAACUGGAAAACUUGAGUGCAGAAGAGGAAAGUGGAAUUCCAUGUGUAGCGGUGAAAUGCGCAGAGAUAUGGAGGAACACCAGUGGCGAAGGCGACUUUCUGGUCUGUAACUGACGCUGAUGUGCGAAAGCGUGGGGAUCAAACAGGAUUAGAUACCCUGGUAGUCCACGCCGUAAACGAUGAGUGCUAAGUGUUAGGGGGUUUCCGCCCCUUAGUGCUGCAGCUAACGCAUUAAGCACUCCGCCUGGGGAGUACGACCGCAAGGUUGAAACUCAAAGGAAUUGACGGGGACCCGCACAAGCGGUGGAGCAUGUGGUUUAAUUCGAAGCAACGCGAAGAACCUUACCAAAUCUUGACAUCCUUUGACAACUCUAGAGAUAGAGCCUUCCCCUUCGGGGGACAAAGUGACAGGUGGUGCAUGGUUGUCGUCAGCUCGUGUCGUGAGAUGUUGGGUUAAGUCCCGCAACGAGCGCAACCCUUAAGCUUAGUUGCCAUCAUUAAGUUGGGCACUCUAAGUUGACUGCCGGUGACAAACCGGAGGAAGGUGGGGAUGACGUCAAAUCAUCAUGCCCCUUAUGAUUUGGGCUACACACGUGCUACAAUGGACAAUACAAAGGGCAGCGAAACCGCGAGGUCAAGCAAAUCCCAUAAAGUUGUUCUCAGUUCGGAUUGUAGUCUGCAACUCGACUACAUGAAGCUGGAAUCGCUAGUAAUCGUAGAUCAGCAUGCUACGGUGAAUACGUUCCCGGGUCUUGUACACACCGCCCGUCACACCACGAGAGUUUGUAACACCCGAAGCCGGUGGAGUAACCUUUUAGGAGCUAGCCGUCGAAGGUGGGACAAAUGAUUGGGGUGAAGUCGUAACAAGGUAGCCGUAUCGGAAGG